rnacentral:rRNA from 1 species
UACAGAGGGUGCGAGCGUUGUCCGGAAUCACUGGGCGUAAAGGGCGCGUAGGUGGCGCUCCAAGUCUGUGGUGAAAGCUCGAUGCUCAACAUCGAGUCGGCCACGGAGACUGGAGGGCUCGAGCACUGUAGGGGCAGAUGGAAUUCCGGGUGUAGCGGUGGAAUGCGUAGAGAUCCGGAAGAACACCGGUGGCGAAGGCGGUCUGCUGGGCAGUUGCUGACGCUGAGGAGCGAAAGCUAGGGGAGCAAACGGG